UUAAACUGUUAGAAGAUAUUAAGUGGCCAGAUUAAGUAAAAAUACUGCCCUGGAGGCCUGCUAUGUAAGUUAUUACUAUCCCAUCUCUGAUGGUAUUCUAGGAAUGGAUGAACAAAGGAAUAACUUUUUUCGUGAACUGGCACGAUUGACAUCCAUAAUCUUAGAGCAACUGCUAUACAUUUUCUCUAUUUUGUGUGUGUACAUCUAGUGUUGGUGAACUUCAGUGGUGUUUGCUGGGAGCUUUAUUUACCAAAAGGAAUGAAUGUCUUAUGUUAGCUAGAUCCACAAUAGGAGCAUCUCCAGAAAAAAUGGAGUGCAGGAGAGUAUUUAUUCUAGUGAUUAUCAUCCACUUGCACUUGUUGCAAUUAGCAGUGUAUCCAGAGUGGCUGUGGGAUGCCUGGCUGGAGCAUCUAUAAUUUUUAUUGGAUCCCUCAGCUAUUGCAACGAGAGUAGAGUCUUAACCAACAUAGUCAAGAGAACAGAGUUACAAGACAAGAAGGAAGACUUGACUGUUCUGGUGAAAGGAGUGCUAUCAGACCACCGAUGUGAUGGACCUUCUCUGGUAGAGGUUUGGGGAGAACUGCAGGAGGCUGGCACAUGAUUUGUUGCAUGGUACUGCUAUCCUGAAUCUGUGACCCCUGGUUUGUGUUUUCUGCAAAACUUCAAAAGGGAGUGUAUUAAGUGGCAAUAAAUUUAAUACAAUGCUUCCUGCUUUGAAGCUACGAUGAGCCUGUUGUAGAACUUCAUUUUGCUUGGGAACUGAUGCAGCAGGCUGUAUACCCCACAGUAAAAUGGAAGCAGCUAGAGUAGAAAAACUGAUCGUAACAGUGACAAAGCAAAUGGCAAAGAAGCCAUUCAAGGUACCAGAAGGAAGCUUUCUUUAUCUAGGAUGAUUGAAAACUGUGACUAAAAUGUUCCUGCCUGUCAUUCCACAAGAUUAAAUUCUCUGAUCCACCAUUCUUUUUUCUUUUUUCUACUAGGUUAUCUUAUCUGUGGCACAGCUAUCACUUUGACAGGUUAAUUGUGUGUGUCUCUUGACCUCAUUAAUGAUAGCCCUCCGUUGGCCCACUCUUCCUUGCUUUGACCAGGUGGCCAUAUGGCUUCAUUUUAACUUCCUCUAGUGAAAUAUUUCAAGUGAACAUUCUUCUCCUAGGCAAGAAAAACUUCCUGUACAAUGAAUCUCAUUGUAGAUCUCUAGUUGUGACUUGAGGCUCCUACUUUCCUCCUCCCAGUUUCCUUUUUGCAAAACUACUUAACGCCAUCUAUGGGGUUUGCUGUCAUCUUUCAUUGAAUGUUUAUCUCCUCACUCAUAGGUUUUGUGACGUAAAACUUGGUGAGAUCUUACCAUGAUGUUAUAACUUCUUUUCUGCAGUUCAUCAAAGUACAGUAGCAGGUACUAGGCACGGUGAGGGAACUAGGAGUUUAUUUUGUCAUAAAGAAAAGAUGGCUUGUCAGAACUGAGAAUAUACCAGUAAUGGUUCACUUAAACCUUCUGACAUAAUUCUGUCCAUUAAAUGGUUGAAAUUUAAAUCUCAAAUAGUAAUCCAUUUUGCCAAAGCAAACUUGUCAAGGAAAAUGUGACUUUUAGCACAGAAAAGAAAAAUAAAUGCCAAAUCCAAAUUUCUUAGAUUUGGUUGGCAUAAGCUUAUUUCAUAUGUGACCUUAGAGAUGCUGCUUGAGGGAUUUGUUGUUCCAGAGAACAUAUGGAAGGUAGUGUUUAUGAUUGGUAUUGGCCUUGUAAUUGAGUAACAUAUCAUUUCUCCUUUCUUCAUCAAGGUGGUAACUAAUUUUUGCUAUCAGGAGUGCUCUCGUGUCUCCAUUGUGUCUGAUCUUCUGUCCUUUGUGAUUUGAGCAGAAUUAGAAUUUUCUCAAGAUAAUUUUUCUGAAGUUGUUGGUUGACUGCGUUACUGAUGGUAGAAUGAAAUUGUACUUAGAUAUCAAACUGUUCUACUGCACAAAUACCUGAGUUAACUGUAAAAAGGAGUGGGAACUUUGUUGCGUUGGUUUUACAUUCUGUGUAUGUUAACUUGUUUUGUAGUUGGCUUGCUUAUUUGGCACAAGUGUAGAAGUUGCUGUACAUAUGCACAAAACUCCAAUGAAGGGACACUGACACAAGGUUAUAAACUGGAAAAUAGUUCAAUAUGAUUAUGGAGUCUCUAUUACUCAUUCUUGAUGGUAUUUAAAUGUGAAACUGAAAGGCAGUGCUGAAAGAAAUCUGUGUACAGAGAUUUGUUUAUUUCUUGACCAGAAUUUCUUUAACAAAGUAGUGAAACAGUUUCAGUGGUACAGUAUCAUCACGUCAGAUUACACAAAUGAAAGUCUGGGACACAAACGGUGAAGUUCAGAAUUUCACCAGGCAGAUCUCCAUUACUGUAGUGCACUUUUGUGAAAUAUUUACUACUGUAAUACAAUCAUUAUCCUCAGAUAAUAUUUCAGUAGUAAAUGUUCUACUCGUGUGUUGGUCUUUUUAAAUGUUUAUUUUAUAUAGGUGGAAUGGAAGGUAAAUAUCAAGUUUCGUGGAGAAAAGUACAAUGGGGAAAAAAAAAACCUUUCCCUGGAUUUUCACCUAAUGAUAGAAGAAGCUUCACAUAGUCAAAAAGUUGUAUAUUUUGGAGGUUUAGCCUUGUAACAUUGGUUUUUGUCAUCUUAACUGCAUAAUCCAAAGAUUUCUAUUGUCACCACUUCACAGGUGCCUCCAUUAGACCACAUCCUUGCCUGUGUCUGGAAUUUCUUUUUUCUUUUGAAAGUCUCAGGUCUGCAGUUCACUUUUUGACAAGUUCUAUGAAAUGUUGGAAAGUGUUUAUUAUAUAUUUUUUUCAUUCAUCACGUAUGUUAAAAUAUUGCAGAUUAACUAUAUUUGUUCCUUUUUUGUUGUUUUGUUUUUUUUAAUGCGAGUUAGAUGGAAGCUUGCUAUAUGGAAAUAACAGCUCCCAUCUGUUUUGGAAUAAAUUAGUUGUCAUAGUGUCUUUACAAGGUGAACACUUGUCAUAGACAUCCUUCUGUUUCUGACUUGAUUAUAUUUCUGACUUGACCACUUCGGUUUUCAGAGAACUUGAAAAUUGCUGAAGAAUGACCUUACAGACUCCAUUAUUAAUCUCACGUACAUAAAGGAAUGGUUUUCAAAGAAAACAUUCAGAACUCUGCUCAUAAUGAACUGAGGCAAGGAAAGUAUGUGUUCUGCUUUGUUUUCUUUCUCUUUUGAUUUGUAUUUUGAUAGAAAUGGAUAACAUUUUGCAGAAGCAGUUGAGCCAGGUUGUACCAAAUGAAAUACUAAAAUACUUGCAUUCAGGACUAUACGCAUAUGUUCUUUUCUUCUAGGCCCAUUGGAAGUCUGCUUUUAGUAUAGUAUUUGUGAAUUGGAUCUACUCUUAUUCCUUUACGAGAAUAGUAUCUGAGAAGUGUGGUAGUUGCUAGGAAUGUGGGAGACCACAGAUGCCCAACAGCUGCUGUUGAAAGGAUCACAACACCAAGCAGAAAUAAGCUUCAAUGCAAAUGAUCUCUUAUCUCACAGCACUGUCUCAGUGAGCCCAGGAAAAAAAAACUCAGCUUGGCUACCAGCAAGUGGGUGUGACGGGAUAAGUACUCAAGUAGAAUUAUUUAAAAAAAAAAAAGUCCAAACUUUUUUGGCAGCUUGGACGAGUAGAAAAGUCUGGCUAGACAGGAAGGGUACUCUUUUUAACCCUUUAAAGUGCCCCUUAAUUAUUGACAGUGACCCUAAGUGAACUAAUUCUGAUCUACAGAGAGAUUUAUUUCUCUAAUCUCUUUAAGAUCUGUUUCUGUUUUCAGAAUAGGAAAACUACAGCUGACUUAACCUUCAUUUCUGCUUUGCACCUUUUGCCACCUGCUGCCACUCGGUCUAAAAAUAUUACAAUUUCUUUGCCCACAACCCACUAUUUUGUGAACUAGUUAUGUUGAGGGGAAAAAAUUAAGAUAAAUCUUACAAGUCCCUCAGACUUUUACUCUGAUCAUUUGAGAAUAAAAAAUAGCAAGAUACAUUGGCUUUUAGGGAGAUAAGCUGACAAAAGUACAUUACAUUAAAUUGUAAGGCAAUAAAUUAAGAUACAUGAUCAAGCAGCAUGGAGUCAAAUACAGUUCAAUGUUGGUAUGUAUAAACUGGUAAUCACUAAGGAAAAAACACUUGAUUAACUCCUCAUUGGUGCCUGAUUUUGAAUUAGCUGGGUGCACUACAGACAUUUUCUUUUGUUUCACGCCACUAACUUUAUCCUUGCAUACAAUUAGCAAAAACUUCUGUUUAAUGUUGAUCAGCAUACAAAACAAAUAAAUGUUGGUGUGUACGAGAAGCAAGUCCUAAAAAGUAAUGCUAAAAUGUAAUUCUACUGUAGUAAUGAGUGAUGUGCCACUCCAGUUUUAUGUGUAACAUAUUCUGAUUGUAAUGCUUUCACAAGGAUACAGCUAAAAUGGAGGAGACUUUCAGACUGGUGCAAUAGAAUUUGAAACAUGGGAAAAGGAAGAAAAUAAUAAUAGUUUCAUUUUCAAAAUUGCAUCUCCAGAAGUGUACAUGGGCAGAAGUAUAUAAAGAGUACAUGGACUGAAUAAAACGCUCAUAUAUGUCUGGCUUUCCUAAAGAUAUGAUGAUAACAGGACAUUGGGACAAUUGAAAGGCAAUAAACUAACAAUUAUUUUUUUUUUUCUAAUUCAGUGUAGUUUUAAUGUAUGGAGUGAACAUACUGUCAUAAAUUAUCAUUUGGGGCAGAAGCUUGUUAGAUUGAAGAAUUAAAUCAGUAUAUACAGCUGCCAAGAACGCCUACAGCUUCAUUAGACACAAUUAAACAGAAAUUGUUGGGACAUAUACAUUUUCAUACUUCACUGCAUCAAAAGCCCAGGAAAUGACAGAGGUUAAGAAUGAAUAAUUUUCAUGUUACUCUCAUGUAAGAUCUCAGCAUUUUUUGUUUCUGGAAUCUUUGAAUGUAUGUAAGGGAGAGAGCAGUUGAGUUGCUUUAAAUGAGAACAUUGAACUGUGUAAGCUUUAAAGCUGUAUUUCUAAUGAACAUCAGCACAUAAUUUUGCAUAAUGCAGGGAUAAAAUUUGCCAUGAGAAUUUCAUGAACAGACUUCGUGAUUUCUUUUGUGUUUUUGAAGGAAAGGCAUGGGGCUUUUGUAGCUUGAUCUAGAGAUACCUGAGUGGUGCAACUCUUCUAGCUUCUGGUAGGAAGGAGGUAAGAGAGGAAAAAGUCAACAAAAGGAGGUUUUUCUGCAUGCCUUCAUUCUGUCUACUUGUACUUUUUUUUAUGAUUAUUAUUACUACUUACGUUUCUUCUGUUGGUAGGGAAAUAAUUACGCCCUGUUCUUAGCAAGAAACUGAACAGUUAAGAGCUUGGCUUACAGGGUAGUUAUAAUAACUACCCUGAGCCCAUACUAUAAGGCACACCAUGACUGGGGAAACAGAAAGCCACAUAGAAUCCUCUUGGCUUGAGGGUACUUCUGUACUGGGCUUACAUGGCAAGCUUUUGAUAGCAGAGGGGCUGCAGGGGUGGCCUCUAUGAGCACAGUCCAACACUGCCCUAUGUCAGACCAAAGCCAACUGCCCCUGUUCCAAAAGAGACCCACUGCUGGCCAGAGCUGAGGCAUGAGUUCCCUGUAGCCCUUGGAGGAGCAUUCUGUGCAGCAGUGGAUGUGGCUAAAAGGAGACUGCAGGCCAUGGAGAGCCCCCACAGGAACAGUCUUGGGCCAGAGCUGCAGCCUGUGAGGAUAGGCCCUUGGUGGGACAGGAGAGGAGUUGUCGCUUGUGAGUACCCUUGCUGGAGUGGUUCCUGCAGGAUGGGCUCUGUGAUGUGGCCGUGUGUUGGAGCAGCGCUUGAGGAGCUGCAGCCUAUGGGAAGCCCAUGUUGGGAUCAGUUUUGAAAGGAUAUCCCAUGGAAGGGGACCCCCCCAUGGAGCAGAGGCAGAGAGUGACCAUGAAGGAGCAGCAAAGGUGAAGCAUUGUGGACUGACCGCAGCCCCCGUUCCCUUGUACUGCUGGAGGGGAGAAGGUAGAAGAGGGUAAAUGGGGAAAAGAUGGUUUUAGUUUGCUUUUAGUUUUCAGUGCUCUAGUCUGUUAUCAAUAGGUAAUAAAUUAUAUUAAUCUCCUUUAUGUUGAGUCUCCUUUGCCCAUGACAGUAAUUGGUGAGUGAAUUCCCAGUCCUUAUCGCAACCCACAAGGUUGUUGUUUGUUUUUUUUUUUUUAUCAUAUUUUCUCUCCCUGCCUUUUUGAGGAAGAGAAGUGAAAAAACAACAUGUUGGAGCUUAGCUAUCUACUGAUGUGAAAUCACCACAGCUUCUCAGGUGAACAAGUAAGUUGACUUGAUAUUUGCUCUAUUUUCUUGAAAUAUUUUUCUUUGGAUUAUCUGUCCUUGUCUUAUUGUUAAUGGAAUGUGUCUUAGGGUUGCUUCUUCAGCUUCCAUUUAUACAGUUGCAUUUUGAUUUGAAGUAAGUAUUAAUGUCACGUAAAUCAAGAAGAAUAGAUUGAGUCUGGCUGCAGUAUUUGCAUUAUUGUUACAGAAACUUUAUAUCAAGUUGGCUUGGUUUUGUCAGACGCCAGUAGACUGGGGGUGAUGUCAUCAGAGCUGUCAUUGUUUUAUCUGGAAGGUGUCAAUGAAACUGAACUUUCCCACAGUGCUAAUUUAUCUCUGAAUAGAGAUGUAGUUUUGGUGAUAGAAUAUAAGCUCGUGUGUAAGAACUGGCAGAAUUAAAUUCAUUUUAGAUGUUGUUUUCUCUCAGACUGUUUUAAAAACAAAUGCUUUUUCAUGCUGUCUCUUUAAGAAGGAGAGGAUGAGGAGGUGGAUGUGAGUUCAGUGCCCAUCCCUCCGUUGAUUUUCAGAAUAUAGUUGGCUUCUUAGGAGUGAGGCUUUUAAAUCUCCUUUAAAAGCAAUGAUCUUCAAUCAAAACCAGAUGUGUCAAUGAUGUGCAUUUCCAUUCUACUUUUCUUUCUUUGUCUCAUACUAACCCUGCCCAAAUCAACAAAAAUAAUCUCUGAGAAUGGUAAUCCUUUUGACUUCUUUGGGGUUAUUCACACCAUUUGUGAGGACCCUUCAUUAUUGCUGUUAAUUUUAUGCUUCAGUCACCUUGCUUAAUUGAAUUUGGAUGCCUUUAUAAAAAUUCAAGCAAAAACAGCUUUUUUCAAAAUCACUUGUUAGUAUCAGUUUUAUUCUGAAUUCAGAUAUCCAUUUUCCAGUGUCCUUGCAGAUGUUUUGUUUUAUUAAUUGCUCUGAUUUGCAACAAACAUCUUUGUCUCCCUCCCACCACUUUGCAGUCUUAGAAAGGUUUUGCUGUUCCAUAGUCACUAGUACUCCCAUUCACAGUCCAGUCUCACUACCAAAUGUGACUAGAGUUUCUCUUUCUUCCGCAAAGUUGGUUAUGUUUUAAGUAUUGCUGAAAUUUCACCUAGAUCUGUUUUAGAAUCUUCCCACAUAUUGAUAUGACCAUGGUCCAUGACCCAGUUAUCUCAGACCUUGGUAACUGUGGGUGUUGUGUUUUGUUCUGUUUUUUUUAAGUUUUUUCUUGGCCUCUCAUGUUCCCUUGACUCCCUUCUAUUAUCUUUAACCUAAAGUCUGCAUUUCUUGAAAACUGCUUUAAAUACGUUCCUGAAAUCCUUGUCCUGGUUUUUGAUCUCUGUCUGCAUCACAUAUCUUUACCUUUCAAGACUUAACACAAUACUUAUCUCUCAAAUGUAUCUUUUUCCCUAUCUCCCUCGCUCAUGCCAAGCAUUCUGCCUGCACACUGUGCUGUGGCAUUUUUCCUGAUUCUCCAAGAGCUUGACUCAUAACUUCGCUCACAACACCUCAAGUUCCUAGGUAUUAGUCAACUCAUAAUCUCACAAUUGCAUUUCAAUAUUUUCCCCAUGGUCUUCCAACACUGAUUUUUUUUUAAAAUUUGUUUAGCAGUUGCUUUUAAAGACAAGGCCAUUUGAGUGUAGAUGUUUAAGUUUUCAAAGCAUGUCUUCCCCUCAUCCUUUGUUUUUCACCAAAAAUUCACUUUUGAAAGGCAUCGAGAGAUAGAUCAACACUUAGAAAUGCAACUUUAUUCCUGUGAAGGUGAAGAGCGCAGAUCAGAGAAACUUGGCUUGACUUGUCUUCUGCCCUGAGAUCUGAAUCAGCUUAUUGGUUUAGCCAAAUAACUGUACUGUCUCUUUGUACUGGUUACAGUUGAAUUCUUUGUUUCAGAAAAUACCGUCAGUAUUAUUGCUCACUAACAGUGUUUCUUUUGCUUGUUGGCAGUUUGGAAAACAAAUACUUGAGAUGUGGGUAUAUGCUAGAUAUAGACACACUCAUUUGUUGUAGUAACCUUCACUAUCUGCCACAGUCUCCUGUGACAGAUCUUGAGUAAUUAUUCUAAACGAAGACAUGCAAUGUCACGACAAUAUUUUGAGUUGAAACUUUUAUUUAUAUAUGGGGAAAGUGUACACUAUGAUGCCAUACUCUUCCUUUCCAAUUUUUCACCUAACUUUUUUAUUACACGUUGUCAUAUUUACAUUAUGAGUCCUCUAAGUGAAAUCCUUCUUAUCUCUGCAUUGGGGAAAACUUCCAAUAGCUCAGACUACUUUUAAAUUAAAUUCCAUAAAUAAAUAUGUGAAAGAAGUAGGUGGUUAUUGCUGCAGCAGUCCCACUAAUUGAACAAAUCCAAACA